rnacentral:rRNA from 1 species
UUCCGGUUGAUCCUGCCAGAGGUCGCCGCUAUUGGAGUUCGAUUUAGCCAUGCGAGUCGAGAGGGUUUAGACCCUCGGCGUAAUGCUCAGUAACACGUGGACAACCUGCCCUCAAGUGGGGGAUAAUCUCGGGAAACUGAGAAUAAUACCCCAUAGUUCUAAGAAGCUGGAAUGCUCUUAGGAUGAAAGCUCCGGCGCUUGAGGAUGGGUCUGCGGCCUAUCAGGUUGUAGUGGGGAUAACUGCCCCACUAGCCGACGACGGGUACGGGCCUUGAGAGAGGGAGCCCGGAGAUGGACUCUGAGACACGAGUCCAGGCCCUACGGGGCGCAGCAGGCGCGAAAACUACGCAAUGCACGCAAGUGCGACGUGGGAACUCCAAGUGCUUGUGGGUAUUUACCUGCAAGCUUUUCCCAAGCCUAAAAAGCUUGGAGAAUAAGGGCUGGGUAAGACCGGUGCCAGCCGCCGCGGUAAUACCGGCGGCCCAAGUGGCGAUCGCUAUUAUUGGGUCUAAAGCGUCCGUAGCCGGCCAGGUAAAUCCUUAGAUAAAUCGAACAGCUUAACUGUUCGGCCUCUUGGGAGACUGCUUGGCUUGAGACCGGGAGAGGUUAGAGGUACUCUUGGGGUAGGGGUGAAAUCCUGUAAUCCUGAGGGGACCACCAGUGGCGAAGGCGUCUAACUUGAACGGGUCUGACGGUGAGGGACGAAGGCCAGGGGCACAAACCGGAUUAGAUACCCGGGUAGUCCUGGCUGUAAACGCUGC